rnacentral:piRNA from 1 species
UGCACUUCAAGUUUUUUUCUG